GGUAGUACUAACAGGAUUCCCCUAGUAGCGGCGAGCGAAGCGGGAAGAGCUCAAAUUUGUAAUCUGGCGUGCUCAGUGCGUCCGAGUUGUAAUCUAUAGAAACGUUUUCCGUGCCGGACCGUGUCCAAGUCCCUUGGAACAGGGUAUCAAAGAGGGUGACAAUCCCGUACUUGACACGACGACCGGUGCUCUGUGAUACGUUUUCUACGAGUCGAGUUGUUUGGGAAUGCAGCUCAAAAUGGGUGGUAAAUUCCAUCUAAAGCUAAAUAUAGGCGAGAGACCGAUAGCGAACAAGUACCGUGAGGGAAAGAUGAAAAGCACUUUGGAAAGAGAGUUAAACAGUAUGUGAAAUUGUUGAAAGGGAAACGAUUGAAGUCAGUCAUGUUCAUUGGAUUCAGCUGGUUCUGCCAGUGUAUUUCCUUUGAACGGGUCAACAUCAGUUUGAGCCGGCGGAUAAUGGCAGAGGGAAUGUGGCACCUCCGGGUGUGUUAUAGCCCUUUGUCGCAUACGUCGGCCCAGACUGAGGAAUGCAGCUCGCCUUUAUGGCCGGGGUUCGCCCACGUACGAGCUUAGGAUGUUGGCAUAAUGGCUUUAAACGACCCGUCUUGAAACACGGACCAAGGAGUCUAACAUACCUGCGAGUGUUUGGGUGUCAAACCCGGA
rnacentral:rRNA from 1 species